rnacentral:rRNA from 1 species
UACGAAGGGGGCUAGCGUUGCUCGGAAUCACUGGGCGUAAAGGGUGCGUAGGCGGGUCUUUAAGUCAGGGGUGAAAUCCUGGAGCUCAACUCCAGAACUGCCUUUGAUACUGAAGAUCUUGAGUUCGGGAGAGGUGAGUGGAACUGCGAGUGUAGAGGUGAAAUUCGUAGAUAUUCGCAAGAACACCAGUGGCGAAGGCGGCUCACUGGCCCGAUACUCGACGCUGAGGCCACGAAAGCGUGGGGAGCAAACAGG